UACGAAGGGGCGAGCGUUGUUCGGAUUUACUGGGCGUAAAGGGCGCGCAGGCGGCUCAUUUUGUCAGGCGUGAAAGCCCCGGGCUUAACCUGGGAAUGGCAUUUGGGACUGCAAGGCUGGAGUGUGGCAGAGGAGACUGGAAUUCCUGGUGUAGCAGUGAAAUGCGUAGAUAUCAGGAGGAAUACCGAUGGCGAAGGCAGGUCUCUGGGCUAACACUGACGCUCAUGCACGAAAGCGUGGGGAGCGAAACAAGGAU
rnacentral:rRNA from 1 species